CUACGGUGGACGCGCCGUGGUGUUCGGGAAGCCGGUGCACUGUGCUCGUCACAGGAGUCCGGAGCGGCCCUCGCCACUGUGAUCGGGGAGCCGUCGGCUCCCACCUCGUGCCACUGGCCGUUCGCGGCCGGGAAGGCCGGGCGCCGACGCCGAACACCCCGUCAGCCAGGAGACCGGCCACGGCAUCUCACGAAGU
rnacentral:ncRNA from 1 species